AAUCGGCUGCUGCUCUGCUUACACAACAACAGACUGUAAAGGAACACAAGAUGUCCUGAAGUUAGGCAAGACAAUGAUAAUGCAAGAUUCUCCCAAUGGAUAAACCUUCUACUAAGCUCUGUCAGAAUGUCUUCUGAAGCUAACCUCUGGGAAUACUGGGAGAGUCUAAUCAAUAGACUACUCAGCAAACUUCACGACUUUCACCAGUCUGACAUUCUAACACGUACUUCAUUUAUCAUCAUCCUGAUAUUCAUCUGUACUUUUCUGUUGAUUUUUAUUCCUGUCAUUUGCUGCUGCUGUUCCUGCAAUUGCGGCAAAAGAACUGGCAGAGUGAAACCCACAUCCAAACCCUAACAGUAUGAAUCCUCAGAUGGACAUGACAGCACAUGAGCAAGGGGCCUCCGUGGCAGUGCAGCACAAUGAAGACAGGCUGUAAUGUUCAUUUCUCACACAUCACU